rnacentral:rRNA from 1 species
CCCUUAGAUGUCCUGGGCCGCACGCGCGCUACACUGAACGGAUCAGCGCGUUUUCCCUUCCCGAGAGGGACGGGUAACCUGCUGAACCCCGUUCGUGGUAGGGAUCGGGGCUUGCAAUUAUUCCCCGUGAACCAGGAAUGCCCAGUAAGUGCAAGUCAUAAGCUUGCGUUGAUUACGUCCCUGCCCUUUGUACACACCGCCCGUCGCUACUACCGAUUGAACGUUUUAGUGAGGUACUCGGACUGAGCCUCAGAAGAUUCACGUCUUUUGUGCUGCUCGGGAAGAUUCCCAAACUUGAGCGUUUAGAGGAAGGUGAAGUCGUANCA